UGGGGAAUUUUGGACAAUGGGCGAAAGCCUGAUCCAGCAAUGCCGCGUGUGUGAAGAAGGCCUUCGGGUUGUAAAGCACUUUCGUCCGGAAAGAAAUCCUUGGCUCUAAUACAGUCGGGGGAUGACGGUACCGGAAGAAUAAGCACCGGCUAACUACGUGCCAGCAGCCGCGGUAAUACGUAGGGUGCAAGCGUUAAUCGGAAUUACUGGGCGUAAAGCGUGCGCAGGCGGUUUGCUAAGACCGAUGUGAAAUCCCCGGGCUCAACCUGGGAACUGCAUUGGUGACUGGCAGGCUAGAGUAUGGCAGAGGGGGGUAGAAUUCCACGUGUAGCAGUGAAAUGCGUAGAGAUGUGGAGGAAUACCGAUGGCGAAGGCAGCCCCCUGGGCCAAAUACUGACGCUCAUGCACGAAAAGCGUGGGGAGCAAACAGGAUUAGAUACCCUGGUAGUCCACGCCCUAAAACGAUGUCAACUAGUUGUUGGGGAUUCAUUUCCUUAGUAACGUAGCUAACGCGUGAAGUUGACCGCCUGGGGAGUACGGUCG
rnacentral:rRNA from 1 species